GAGUCCGUCACUCAGAGACAGAGCGAGAGCCGUGGAGUAGAUCUCGCGACCUGCCGCCCCCCGGCUGUGCUCGUCCUGGGGCUGGAGCAUCCUGCCGGCCGCCGGCGACCUCCUCGUCGGUGAGUACGUGCAGAAGCCCGGAGAGGCGCCUGCAGUUGCAGGGGCCAAAGGCUGGAUCUCGCAGAAUCGUGAGGUACUUGGGCAUGGGAUGGGAAUCACAAUUGUUGUGGAGGAAAUGAAGAAUAUCUUGUUAUUUGCCACCUACCAUCGAUGUUCUUUUAGAUUGAACAUUGCCAUGAGCUUUUCUCUACGCAAUGAAUAUAUUAGAUCAAGCAUCAUAUCAUGGACACCAUAAGACUUUUCUGCCUUUAUAGUGAUGUCUACAGAUUGGAUCCUGCUUCUGUUUAUGAGCUCAUUGAAGUAA